UACGUAGGGUCCAAGCGUUGUCCGGAGUUACUGGGCGUAAAGCGCGCGCAGGUGGUCCACUAAGCCCGGCGUGAAAGCCCCCGGCUCAACCGGGGAGGGUCGUCGGGGACUGGUGGACUUGAGGGUGGCGAGGGGCUGGUGGAAUUCCCGGUGUAGUGGUGAAAUGCGUAGAGAUCGGGAGGAACACCCGUGGCGAAGGCGGCCAGCUGGGCCGAACCCUGACACUGAGGCGCGAAGGCGUGGGGAGCGAACGGG
rnacentral:rRNA from 1 species